rnacentral:rRNA from 1 species
UACGUAGGGUGCGAGCGUUAAUCGGAAUUACUGGGCGUAAAGCGUGCGCAGGCGGUUUUGUAAGACAGGCGUGAAAUCCCCGGGCUCAACCUGGGAAUUGCGCUUGUGACUGCAAAGCUGGAGUGCGGCAGAGGGGGAUGGAAUUCCGCGUGUAGCAGUGAAAUGCGUAGAUAUGCGGAGGAACACCGAUGGCGAAGGCAAUCCCCUGGGCCUGCACUGACGCUCAUGCACGAAAGCGUGGGGAGCAAACAGG